UAUGGAGCAAGCGUUAUCCGGAUUUACUGGGUGUAAAGGGAGCGCAGACGGCAGGGCAAGUCUGAUGUGAAAGUCCGGGGCUCAACCCCGGGACUGCAUUGGAAACUGUCCGGCUAGAGUGCAGGAGAGGUAAGUGGAAUUCCUAGUGUAGCGGUGAAAUGCGUAGAUAUUAGGAGGAACACCAGUGGCGAAGGCGGCUUACUGGACUGUAACUGACGUUGAGGCUCGAAAGCGUGGGGAGCAAAC
rnacentral:rRNA from 1 species